AUGUCUGACCCAGACCACAGGCACAUUACUCAAACUGGAAAGAAGGCAGCACGACUAAGAGUAAUUUGGUUGAACGCCUGCUCGAAAAUAAGACAAUGGCGCACUGAGGAUCACAAACACACACAUUCGUUGAGACAACAGAAAAUUACAGCCCUGGAAGGAAAAACAGACAUGUCGUUAAGGCAUUCAACCCUGGAUGGAGGAGUGACUGACCUUUGAAGUAGUUUGAGAGAUUGGCAAGAAAAAGUAGGACUGGUGUAGAGACCGUGGAUGAAAGUGUUGGCCCCUACUGUAAAUCCAGGCUGGAUGACUGAGCACAGGUAUUGUCUAUUGAAUCAAAACUAUUAAGAAAAGUCAUUCAAGAAAAUGAAGAAAGAUGCCUGGCUCACAAAUGAAGACAAAAUAAAAGGCAAGUAAGACUUUGAAUGUAUGAGCUAUGAGAUCGAUGUUCAGUCAAUGAAGAAAAGCUAAGUCUUAUAUCAAAUCUAAGAAAUGUACUUAAAAUUGAAAAUGAACCAGGACAAAGUCUAGGACAAAGCCUACAUUGGCUACAAAAUGUGAUAGAAAUUGAAAAAAAUGUGAAAAGAAGAAGAUUUUUCUUGAUUAUUCUAAAAGUCCAUUUUGAUCUGUGAACAAGUCCACAAACUCUGGAGCUGCUUGCUGCCCGGUGGUGAAAGAGCUGAAGCAGCGGCGUCUGGUCUUAAACUGUCAUUGGUUCAGGUAUCCAUGUACGUCCUUUGCUGGGUCCUUCUCAUGACACUGUUGGAAAAGAAAAGAACAGUAUCUUCAGUAUCAGCACGUUUUCUGGCAAAUGAUGUUGAAAAAAUGUCAAUUUUGAUGAUGGCUUUGGAAACUUUUCUUUUUUUCCCCUUUUGUUGUUUUUUUCAGUAGAUCUAAUAUGGAGUGCUCAACACUAAAUGCUUAAUUGAUAUGUAAUAAAUAAAGUUUAUUCUAUUUAGAGCCAUAGAAGGGACAGGCAUGUUUCACAAACCCACAGUAACACACUUACAAAGGCAUACAAAUACAUUUACGUGUGAUAUUUUUAUCGUGUUACUUACCAGUCUAACUGUCCUGUGGCAUUUCAUCAUUAAUGUUUGGAUAAUGUUUACAAAAAUGUGGUACACAAGACAGAGGGCGAGUGCAAGCAUUCAAAAACAUAAGACAAGAUGGUCGCCUUGAUAUGUCCAUUUCGCCCAAUAACAGGCAAGUGAGAUGCUUUUUUGUUUUUGUUUUCAUAAAGUCCAUAUAUAGGAAAAAUUGUGAUGAAGAUGAUGAAUUCGGGGAUGUCUAGGAAAAAUCUUAUUUAAAAAACAAACCUACUAAAUGUUAAUUGACAUUUCAAACCAGUCACCAAGAAGAAAGCACAAGCAUAUAAACUACAUACGAUGCACAGAAAAUAAAAUAUCAGUAUGAAUGGAAAAAGGAGUCUUAAUUUGCGUCACAGCGUCACUUAUUGGAUCACCAUCCCUUUCUUAGAUUCAUUUGAAAUGAACUGGAAACCAAGGAAAAAUCAAACUCUUGACUCUUUUUUAUAUUCAGAGGUAAAUAUAAACUAUAUUCUAUAAAAUGCAAAUACUAAUUGUGAAUAUCAAAUCAAAGAAGGCAGUUCUGAAUUAAAAUUAUGUAUAAAAUAAAGUGCAAAUGGUUAAUUCAAGGAGGAUAAAUUAGGGGAUAUAAAUAACUUACAGUGGGGAGUGAAAAGUUUUCAUUCUCUAAUGAGCUAACGGUCAUACAGUGGUCAUGCACGACAGCUAAAAACAGGGACCCUCGAAGAGUACAAAGAAAAUCAAGAGGUUGUGAUAAGAAGAGGAGGUGACGGCCUGUCCGAAAGGUGAUAAAUGGAAGGAUUAAAAUAAGAGAAAAGGCUGGUGAGCGCCAGCAGAAAAUGAA
rnacentral:lncRNA from 12 species